GCACUGCUGACGAGUCUCACGAUAGGACGAAACGGCCGUCUAGUGC
rnacentral:hammerhead_ribozyme from 1 species